rnacentral:rRNA from 1 species
CUCAGGAUGAACGCUGGCGGCGUGCCUAACACAUGCAAGUCGAACGGAGUGGAGGAGCUUGCUCCAAAACUUAGUGGCGGACGGGUGAGUAACGCGUGGGUAACCUGCCCUUAAGUGGGGGAUAACAGUUGGAAACGACUGCUAAUACCGCAUAAAGUUAGAGGUUCGCAUGGACUUUUAACCAAAGGAGAAAUCCGCUUUUGGAUGGACCCGCGUCUGAUUAGCUAGUUGGUGGGGUAACGGCUCACCAAGGCGACGAUCAGUAGCCGGCCUGAGAGGGUGAACGGCCACACUGGGACUGAGACACGGCCCAGACUCCUACGGGAGGCAGCAGUGGGGAAUCUUCCGCAAUGGACGAAAGUCUGACGGAGCAACGCCGCGUGAGGGAUGAAGGCCUUCGGGUUGUAAACCUCUGUCUUCAGGGAAGAAAAAAAUGACGGUACCUGAGGAGGAAGCCCCGGCUAACUACGUGCCAGCAGCCGCGGUAAUACGUAGGGGGCGAGCGUUAUCCGGAAUUAUUGGGCGUAAAGGGCGCGUAGGCGGAUAUUUAAGUCAGGUGUGAAAACCCAGGGCUCAACCCUGGAUCUGCAUCUGAUACUGGGUAUCUUGAGGACAGGAGAGGAAAGUGGAAUUCCUAGUGUAGCGGUGAAAUGCGUAGAUAUUAGGAGGAACACCAGUGGCGAAGGCGACUUUCUGGACUGUAACUGACGCUGAGGAGCGAAAGCAUGGGGAGCGAACAGGAUUAGAUACCCUGGUAGUCCAUGCCGUAAACGUUGGGCGCUAGAUGUAGGGACCAUUCCACGGUUUCUGUGUCGCAGCUAACGCAUUAAGCGCCCCGCCUGGGGAGUACGGCCGCAAGGCUAAAACUCAAAGGAAUUGACGGGGGCCCGCACAAGCGGCGGAGCAUGCGGAUUAAUUCGAUGCAACGCGAAGAACCUUACCAAGGCUUGACAUAUACCGGAAAAGUGCAGAAAUGUACUCCCCGCAAGGUCGGUAUACAGGUGGUGCAUGGUUGUCGUCAGCUCGUGUCGUGAGAUGUUGGGUUAAGUCCCGCAACGAGCGCAACCCUCGUUCUAUGUUGCCAGCACGUAAUGGUGGGAACUCAUAGGAGACUGCCGGGGUCAACUCGGAGGAAGGUGGGGAUGACGUCAAAUCAUCAUGCCCCUUAUGUCUUGGGCUUCACGCAUGCUACAAUGGCCAGUACAAAGGGCUGCAAUACCGUAAGGUGGAGCGAAUCCCAAAAAGCUGGUCUCAGUUCGGAUUGAGGUCUGCAACUCGACCUCAUGAAGUCGGAGUCGCUAGUAAUCGCAGAUCAGCAACGCUGCGGUGAAUACGUUCCCGGGCCUUGUACACACCGCCCGUCAAGUCAUGAAAGUCGGUAACACCCGAAGCCAGUGGCCCAACCGCAAGGAGGGAGCUGUCGAAGGUGGGAUCGAUAAUUAGGACUAAG